rnacentral:sRNA from 1 species
GAGGUAUGCUGAGAGGCCCUAUGGUCGCC